rnacentral:rRNA from 1 species
AUAGCCUAACGGCUGAACCAGCAACUUGGAGGAAUGUAUAGCAAUAGCUGAUUGCACCAACAAACAGUUGAUGCAAUAUCGACUAUGUCGAAUAAAAUUCUAGGUAGAAUUAUGAUAAUGACAUUGUCUGCCUAUGUGUCUUGACCAACAUACGUGCCAGCAGUCGCGGUAAUACGUAAAAGACUAGUGUUAUUCAUCUUUAAUAGGUUUAAAGGGUACCUAGACGGUAAAUCAAGCCUUUUACCUUAGGGACUAAUUUACUAGAGUUACUUGUGAGGGGGUUUUAAAGUACUGCUGGUGUAGAGAUGAAAUUCUGUCAUACCUCUUUUCGUAAGAAAAAUUAUGGCACAGGUAUAGGCGAAAGCAUCCCCUUAUGUGAUAACUGACGUUGAAGGACGAAGG